rnacentral:rRNA from 1 species
AACGAACGCUGGCGGCGUGCCUAACACAUGCAAGUCGUGCGAGAAAGUUCCUUCGGGAGCGAGUAAAGCGGCGCACGGGUGAGUAACACGUAGGUAACCUGCCCCCCAGUCUGGAACAACUAGAGGAAACUCUAGCUAAUGCCGGAUGAGACCACGAUCCCUUCGGGGGUUGCGGCCAAAGAUGGCCUCUACUUGUAAGCUAUCGCUGAGGGAUGGGGCCUGCGGGCCAUUAGCUUGUUGGUGAGGUAACGGCUCACCAAGGCUGUGAUGGCUAGCUGGUCUGAGAGGAUGACCAGCCACACUGGGACUGAGGCACGGCCCAGACUCCUACGGGAGGCAGCAGUGGGGAAUAUUGCGCAAUGGGCGAAGCCUGACGCAGCGACGCCGCGUGGGUGA